rnacentral:tRNA from 1 species
CGGAGUGUCGUAUAGUGGUAGUACGCGGGGUUCGGGACUCCGUAGCCCGAGUUCGAUUCUCGGCACUCCGACCA